CACGUAGGGCGCAAGCGUUGUCCGGAAUUAUUGGGCGUAAAGAGCUCGUAGGCGGUCUGUUACGUCUGCUGUGAAAACCCUGGGCUUAACCCUGGGCUUGCAGUGGAUACGGGCAGACUAGAGGCAGGUAGGGGAGAAUGGAAUUCCCGGUGUAGCGGUGAAAUGCGCAGAUAUCGGGAGGAACACCGGUGGCGAAGGCGGUUCUCUAGGCCUGACCUGACGCUGAGGAGCGAAAGCGUGGGGAGCGAACAGG
rnacentral:rRNA from 1 species